CGCGUAGGUGGUUAAUUAAGUCAGAUGUGAAAGCCCAGGGCUCAACCUUGGAACUGCAUUUGAAACUGGUUAACUAGAGUUUUGUAGAGGGUGGUAGAAUUUCAGGUGUAGCGGUGAAAUGCGUAGAGAUCUGAAGGAAUACCAGUGGCGAAGGCGGCCACCUGGACAAAGACUGACACUGGGGCGCGAAGGCGUGGGGAGCAAACAGGAUUAGAUACCCUGGUAGUCC
rnacentral:rRNA from 1 species